rnacentral:rRNA from 1 species
GAUGAACGCUAGCUACAGGCUUAACACAUGCAAGUCGAGGGGCAGCAUGGUCUUAGCUUGCUAAGGCCGAUGGCGACCGGCGCACGGGUGAGUAACACGUAUCCAACCUGCCGUCUACUCUUGGACAGCCUUCUGAAAGGAAGAUUAAUACAAGAUGGCAUCAUGAGUCCACAUGUUCACAUGAUUAAAGGUAUUCCGGUAGACGAUGGGGAUGCGUUCCAUUAGAUAGUAGGCGGGGUAACGGCCCACCUAGUCUUCGAUGGAUAGGGGUUCUGAGAGGAAGGUCCCCCACAUUGGAACUGAGACACGGUCCAAACUCCUACGGGAGGCAGCAGUGAGGAAUAUUGGUCAAUGGGCGAGAGCCUGAACCAGCCAAGUAGCGUGAAGGAUGACUGCCCUAUGGGUUGUAAACUUCUUUUAUAAAGGAAUAAAGUCGGGUAUGGAUACCCGUUUGCAUGUACUUUAUGAAUAAGGAUCGGCUAACUCCGUGCCAGCAGCCGCGGUAAUACGGAGGAUCCGAGCGUUAUCCGGAUUUAUUGGGUUUAAAGGGAGCGUAGAUGGAUGUUUAAGUCAGUUGUGAAAGUUUGCGGCUCAACCGUAAAAUUGCAGUUGAUACUGGAUAUCUUGAGUGCAGUUGAGGCAGGCGGAAUUCGUGGUGUAGCGGUGAAAUGCUUAGAUAUCACGAAGAACUCCGAUUGCGAAAGCAGCCUGCUAAGCUGCAACUGACAUUGAGGCUCGAAAGUGUGGGUAUCAAACAGGAUUAGAUACCCUGGUAGUCCACACGGUAAACGAUGAAUACUCGCUGUUUGCGAUAUACAGCAAGCGGCCAAGCGAAAGCGUUAAGUAUUCCACCUGGGGAGUACGCCGGCAACGGUGAAACUCAAAGGAAUUGACGGGGGCCCGCACAAGCGGAGGAACAUGUGGUUUAAUUCGAUGAUACGCGAGGAACCUUACCCGGGCUUAAAUUGCAGAUGAAUUACGGUGAAAGCCGUAAGCCGCAAGGCAUCUGUGAAGGUGCUGCAUGGUUGUCGUCAGCUCGUGCCGUGAGGUGUCGGCUUAAGUGCCAUAACGAGCGCAACCCUUGUUGUCAGUUACUAACAGGUUCCGCUGAGGACUCUGACAAGACUGCCAUCGUAAGAUGUGAGGAAGGUGGGGAUGACGUCAAAUCAGCACGGCCCUUACGUCCGGGGCUACACACGUGUUACAAUGGGGGGUACAGAGGGCCGCUACCACGCGAGUGGAUGCCAAUCCCAAAAACCUCUCUCAGUUCGGACUGGAGUCUGCAACCCGACUCCACGAAGCUGGAUUCGCUAGUAAUCGCGCAUCAGCCACGGCGCGGUGAAUACGUUCCCGGGCCU